rnacentral:rRNA from 1 species
GACGAAGGGGGCUAGCGUUGUUCGGAAUUACUGGGCGUAAAGCGCGUGUAGGCGGUUGUUCAAGUCAGGUGUGAAAGCCUUGAGCUCAACUCAAGAAAUGCACUUGAUACUGGAUGACUAGAGGACCGGAGAGGAUAGUGGAAUUCCCAGUGUAGUGGCGAAAUACGUAGAGAUUGGGAAGAACACCAGUGGCGAAGGCGGCUGACUGGACAUGUAUUGACGCUGAGGUGCGAAAGCGUGGGGAGCAAACAGG